rnacentral:sRNA from 1 species
AUAGCAUAUUUAUUAGGUAGAACCUGUAGAAAUGAUAUAUUUAUUAUAAUAUUAAAUUUUUUUUUAAAUUUAUUGAUCAAGUAAAAUUGUUAUACUGCACGUGAUGAAAUUAUGGUGCUCUUUUGAUUGAAACAUCCCACCUACCUAUGCGACACAGGAACAUAUUUUGAAAGAAAAUGACUGCGAACUCUGAUAUAUUACACUGGAAACAAUUUCGAGGGAAAAAUGAUUGUGAAAUCUAAUAUUUGGGAGGAUUUUUAUUUUGCUAUUCUCCUGAUAUUUUGGAGGAAUUUUGUUUUGCUAUUUUCCCCUUAGAUAUCCUGCACUAGAUAUUUUGUUAUCAUGGGUCUUUAUCAUCUAGUCAGUGUCAAAGUAAUGGCCUGUAUGGGGAGCCAGGCGGUCUUUAUAAGGCCCCAGGUGUCUAAAUCUCCAGGACUUUGUCUAAGAUCUUCCAUGUAUUCAUUUUAAUUUUUUUAUUGCAUAUUUUUCCAAUGUUCGACUUCCACCAAUUUUUUUUUCUCAUUAUGUGCAGCAUGUGUUAUACAUAACGUUUGUCUAGUACUAAAAUUGUAUCAAAUUUUUAAACUAGGUCAUGUGACAUCUCUUGACCCAAUUUACAAUACCACUUUAAACAGCGUCACUUUGUUGCCAUAGAAGAAGACAUUUUAUUGACUAUUGUAUAUAAAAUCAACUCUGAUGUCAAGUUCAUUAGAGAGCGCAUGCGUAACAAUAUCAUGUUAACCCCCUCCCUCUUCCUUUAUUGAAUGUACCCCCUACCUCCUCCCUAGUCAUUUUAAAGUGUGUUUGACAUAUAUGUGUGUUAUUCAGACGUGUGUAAAUGUGCGUGUGUUUGUGUGUGAUAAUAAUGGAUGUAGUUUGUGAAAAAUUAACAUGUUCAGCAAAAGUCAUAUCCGCCAUAUUGUGUCUGUCUUCAUCCAUGUUUGGUAAAUGGUUUAUAUUUAUUAAUAAAAGACAAUAAAAAAAG